ensembl:lncRNA
UAUAUAUAUAUAUAUAUAUAUAUAUAUAUAUAUAUAUAUAUAUAUAUAUAUAUAUAUAUAUAUGUAUAUAUAUAUAUAUAUAUAUAUAUAUAUAUAUAUAUAUAUAUAUAUAUGUGUGUUCAUAUAGAUUUUUUGCACACUGUAAUUUGCCACAUGUCUAAGCAGUGGUGAAACAUUUUUUUUCUUUUCCAAAAUGCAGUCAAACAAAACAAAAGUUCUCCACUACAUUAAAUAUUAUUUGAAGCACCAGGCGAGGAACAGCUACACCGGACAUUCAGACGGAUUCAUUUCAGCUGUGCGUCGCACUGUAAAAACCACUGUCCCGUAUGCUGUGUCUCAUGUUUGUUGUUGUUUAGUGUCUAGAUUUUUUUUCUCAUUGUUGUGUUUCCUUUUGAUCAGAUAAAAUAAUCGAGGCGUAUAUUGCCUGUUUUAUGAGGAAUUUUGCACAAAAUAGGAAACCUUAUCUGGUUUAUUUUACCUGUGUAAGUGUGAUUGCAAUCAGCAUUGAACUUUAUAUGACAUAUGUGUAUAUUUAAAAUAUUUUACAACCUAGUAUAGGCAGUGAUGCAGACUGAUCGCUUCACUGCACUCUUUUAAAAAUCAAAUGUGUUAAUGAAAGUAGUUUACACAUAGUUCCUUGCUUUAAUUCUCACAGAUAUAUGAAAUAUUAUGAUGCUCGGUGGCGGUCUGUAAUCGAAUGAAUGUGGUUUUGGCUGAAUGUACUGUAUGUUGUUUGGGAUUUUUGCAGUCAAAACAAUGUUAGGUUUGUUGUGGGGCAUUUUAAAUCACUUAUGUGUGAUGUUUUACACUGUUUUUACAAAUGUUCAUGAAGAUUUCUUUUAGAGACUUGAUCCAACAAUCACAUUACAAGUACUGGGAUUUUUCUGAUUAUACUACUCGUGCUGUCCUGAGUGUACUUUUAUUUUGCAUGUUUAAAGCUGUUGUGUGUGUUGACCUGAACUUUUUUGGGCUCAUCUUUAGAUUUGAUUCGCCCAGAGAGAGAUUAUUUAAAGAGCAAUUUUUUGUAUCUGUAUCAAUAAACACUGUAUGUAC